GGGGAUGUGGCUCAGUGGUAGAGCACUUGCCUAGCACACAUGAGGCACUGGGUUCGAUCUCAGCACCA
rnacentral:tRNA from 1 species